UAGGAAGAUUGAGAACCUCUGGUCUGAAAUUUUUUUGCCAUUAGAAUUCAUAGUGGAGUUGCCAUUAGGAAUUCAUAAUCUGUCUGGGCGUGGUGGUGCACGCCUUUAAUCCCAGCACUCGGGAGGCAGAGGCAGGUGGAUUUCUGAGUUCGAGGCCAGCCUGGUCUACAGAGUGAGUUCCAGGACAGUCAGGGCGAUACAGAGAAACCCUGUCUCAAAACAAAACAAAACAAAACAAAACAAAAAAAACCCUCAUAAUCUGGAGUCUCAUUUCCUGAAGGGGAGAAGAGGAGUUUGGUCUAUUCUGGAUAUAACGUGGCCAGUGUGACCAUGAACGCAACAGCUUGGUUCCUUGAACAAGAGCUGCACAAAUAAUAGGAUGUGAAAGUGGGAAGGGGACAGGUUAGAGAAGGGGUUGGAAGGGAUAGGUGGGCAUACAAGAGGGUGACAGGUGAGUGUGUUCAUACAGUACUGUGUACACAAGAGGGUGAACGGGUGAGCAUCCUACUGCAUUGUGUACACGAGAGAGUAACAGGUGUGCAUGUUCACACUGUAUUGUGUAUAUAAGAGGGUAAUGGCUGCGUAUGUUCAUAAUGUUUUAUGUGUACAUAUGAAAUUAUCAAA
rnacentral:lncRNA from 1 species